CCCGCUGAACUUAAGCAUAUCAAUAAGCGGAGGAAAAGAAACUAACAAGGAUUCCCCUAGUAACUGCGGGUGAAGCGGGAAGAGCUCAAAUUUAAAAUCUGGCGUGCCUCGUGGCCGUCCGAGUUGUAGUCUGGAGAAGCGUUUUCCGUGUCGGACCCUGGAUCAAUCUCUCGGAACAGGAGGUCCUAAAAGGGGAGAAUCCCCUCUUUGACACGGCCUACCGAUGCUUUGUGAUGCGCUCUCUCAGAAUCGAGUUGUUAGGGAAGGCAGCUCAAAAUGGGUAGUAACUUCCAUCUCUAGCUAUAUAUAGGAGAGAGACCGAUAGCGAACAAGUACCGUGAGGGAAAGAUGUAAAGCACUAUGGAGAGAGAGUCAAACAGUACGAGAAAUGACAGAAAGGGAAACGCUGGAAGUCAGUCAGGUCUACCAGGACUCAGCCUCGCUUCUGCUUGCUGCACUUUCUGGUUUGAUGGGCCCACAUCGAUUUUGACCGAUAGGAGAAAGAGCAUCAGGAACGUGGCACCUAGGGGUGUGUUAUAGCCCUAUGUGCUAUCCGACAGUCGGGAUCGAGGACUCCAGCACGCCUUAAUGUCCGGGGUGCAGCCCACGUACGUGCUUAGGAUGUUGGCAUAAUGGCUUUAAGCGACCCGUCUUGAAACACGG
rnacentral:rRNA from 1 species